rnacentral:sRNA from 1 species
UUUCUCCCAGAUCCACCACUCCUCCAUUUCCCUUCAGAAAAGGGCCAGCUUCCUAGACAUGUUCUCUCUUAUUAAGCCUGGACGAUGCAGCCCAGUAUAAGGAAAAAGGUCCCACAAGCCAGCAAAAGAGUCAGAGACAGCUCCUGCUCCCACCAUUAGGAGCCCCACAGGAAAACCAAACUGCACAGCUAUAACAUGUAUGCAGAAGGGUUAAGUCAGUCCCAACCAGGCUCUCUGGUUGGCAGUUCAACCUCUGUGAGCCCUUGUAAGCCCAAGUUAGUUGAUUCUGUGGGUUUUCUUGUGGUGUCCUUGACCCCUCUGAUGCUUAUAAUCUCUCCUCCCCCUCUUCUGCAGGACUUCUCAAGCUCUGCCUGAUGUUCUGGUGGGUCUCUCUGUGCCACUUGACUUUUAAUGGAAGCUAAAGAACAGUGGCAUUUUAAGUUCAGUGUGCCAGGAGACAGCAGUGCCAACGUAAAGACCUAGGCUCAGAGGAGACACUGAAGCUGCUAAAUGAAGGUGAUUUACACAGCCAGAAAUAAAUGCAUACACAGAAAUACAGACCCACACUUAAAGAUUGAAUCAACCUCAAGUUGACAGGAAACGCAAGGUCAGAGAUCCAAGAAGGGAAGAAAGGAGAAAUUAGAGCAUAAAUCCAUGUGGACAAGGACCAAAAGGGACACCACAGCUAAUGGAACAGUGCAGAAGAUCUACAAAUUAAAACUCAAGACAACAAAGGCAUUCUGCCUGGGAAAGGCAUCAAAAUGAAGUCUCCUCAGGUCACUGUAUGCUCCAAGGGGGAGUAAUGGGACAGUGGAGUUUUUAAUGAGCUUCAGUAUGUUAACAGUUGUACGGUGCCAUCUGGAGAAUCUUUGAGACCACAGAAGCAGCACAUCCUUGACAGAGAGGUGAGAUGGAGCAGUUAAAAUACUCAAAAUGGCUGAAAAAACUAACCACGAAACAGAUAGUGUUGCAGUUCUGCUCCAGCUGCUGGAAAAUUUCCCUAAUGCAGGUGACAUCCAGUCAGCUACUCAGCCACUAGCUCCUCAGAAACCUGAUCAUGAGCCCAGACGUUGUCCUAAGUGGGGGCUGCACCUGCAGAAAUGCCGAAUUCCCACCACCUCCACCUCCACCACCACCACCACAAAAAAAAAAAAAAAAAAAAAAAAAAGCCUGCCACCCUGGGAAGAAGGAUCUGCCUGGCCUUGGUUCCAGAGUCGUCGUAGCCUUCCCUGGCCCUUUCCUGAAAGUUAGGCCUGCAGGGCCUUCCUGUGGCCACUCCCAGGCCUCCUCUGGGACCAGCAGUUCUUGGGCCAGUUCAGGAACACCGCCCUCUCUUCAGGCUGAACACCUGUUGUUGAGACAAACAGGGCUGCCACUUGGAGUCACACUCCAGGGUGGGUGAUGUUCCAGGAGGGACCCUUCAGGAUGACUGCUGGCAAAGUCUGCAGAGGACAGAGAAGAGUAUAGACCAUCCCUGCUUCCCAGGGAUGCCCUCCCCUCCUUGGCUAGCUAGCCUUGCCAGGACCAGGCUGUGCAGGGGCAAGCCGAGAUUCCUGGUCAGCUGCCCAACUUCCUUGGGAGGCUGGGAGCACACAGUGGAGGAGGUUAGAGUAUCCUGGAUGGUGUGUGACUGCCUACAUGCCUGCCUGCCCACACUCUCCUGUCACCGCUCCCCCUUACUUCCCCCUUCUUGCUUCUGCAGGAAGGUGGCCCUGGCUGGAGGAAGCAGAGAGGCAGGGCUGUUGGCAUUUCCGACUUGUUUGAAGUCAGGAACGCCUGAACACCAAGUGCAAUGUGACCCGAGCUUGGGCCAACUACCCUGAAGCCUGGGGCCAGAGGCUGCUCUGAGUAGAGGCUCUGGCCUACAAGAGAGACUGCUCUAGUCAUGCCAACAUCUGAUCAGAUCAAUCCCAGUUUCGGCUUCUCUAUCCUGACCCAGAUGACAAAGUUCUCCCAACCCCAUGUUUUUUACACUUGUUUUGAGGGCUAUAGGCAUGUCUUUCAUUUCCUGUCAGCCUUCUGGGCAGCUAGGGAUCCUCUUACAGGCAUGGUGGGGGCUGGUGUCCUGGGCAGGACUGCUGUGUGAGCAUCCCUUAUUCUCAGCCCUGGAGGGCUCCCCGAGAAAAGCACCUUGAGACAGCCAUCAUGGAGUUAUAUACAUAAUUGUGGGAGGGACAAGAGAGUCACUAGGGGCAGUCAGGAUAAAUUGCAGGAGGGGUCAUUUGGGAUUUUGUCUGUGCUUACUCUUGCCAUCUGUCCACAGUGUCUCCCUUAGCUCACUUUCUGGUAUGAUGUCUUUAUCUAAGCCUGUGACAGAGUAUGGCCGGAGGUGCUCUUUUAUGCACCGUCUCCAGAUGUCUCUGACUUGUCCUGUGUGAAUGGAGCUGUUGCUUCACCCCCAGCACACCUGACCAGGUGCUGCUUAAGUGCCAGGUUCAGCAGGGCCAGAACCCAGCCAUCUGGACAUUCCCCGCCAGUGAGUAAUGACUGUGCCAUGCCUCAUGGUCUAACACCCUUUUGUGUCCACCACUGGCUAGGCCACUGCCUCCUGGACUCACUUGAAACUUUGGGCCUUUAGCCUGCAGGGAGAAGAGCCUCUUUCUGGCCUCCCAGAAGAGCUGCAGCUGCCAUGUCAGAGGGAGAAUUCCCAGGCCAAGCUUGUGGCCUCCUCCCCACAUAGAGCGUGGAGUCCUCCAAACUGGACUCCUGGGUACAGUGGUCGUGUCUCUGGGAUCUCGUUCCGGUUCUCAUCCCCAGUGGUCCUCUAAAGUUCCUGUGCCUUCUCCACUUCCCAUCCUGCCAUCUAGUACAGACAACAGAUAAUGUUUGUCUCAGGGGCCUGAGAGGCUAGCUAUGUCUGACUCUUGAUAAGCUCUGUAUAAGCUCAGAGGACACUGAGCUUGCCGUGGACGAUUAGGGUCAAGGCUCUGCCUAGAAGCAUUCUCUCUCUGUAUUCCGAGAACCUUUAGGAGACCUGAGCAUGCACCGAGUCUCAAGGACAAGGGGGCAGGUCAGUGGGUGCAUAAUUAUGGAAGGCUUGGUGAGCAAAUAACUUGGCCUGCUUUGUAAAGAAAUACACACCCCACCUCAUGCACGUAUAUCAGGCUGGGAAGAUGGCUUAGUGUUGCCUCAAAAGCACAGGGACAUGAGUUCUAUUCUUGAAACCCUCAUUAAAAAGCCAGGUGUGACGUCAUGAUUGUCAUCCCAGCGCUGAGUAGUAGAGACCAUAUUCCUGGGGACUUGCUGGCCAGGAAGUCUAACUUGCUUGGCCCGAAGUGUAGGAGGUUCUCGUCACCACAAGCACACCAGUCAUGUGCUUCACUAAGUCAUCCUGAUGUCCCAGGGUGAUGGGAAUUUUCAGCUCUAUUGUCACCCCAGGGGACUAUUUCUGCCAGGACUGUAAACACUUACAUAUGUUCAUCAUGCACAUAUUCCCACGUCCGAAUCCACUCUCACGAGACACACAGAGAUGCAGGUACUGUAAGUCAAAGUGAUCCGUCCAACUCAAACCCAACACAAAGCCACAUUUUAUUUUAUGCUUCCUCCUCUCUGAACCUUCAGUUGUCAUCUCUAACAGUGAUGCUCUGUGUCCUAUAAGCCUUGUUGUAAACUUGACACAGCCCAGAGUCCUCUGGGAGGAAAGCCUUGAUUGAGGAAUUACCUAGGUCAGACAGGUCUGGACUUAUGUGUGCAGGAUUGUCUUGAGUACUAAUUGAUGCGGGAGGGCCCAGCCUACUGUGGGCGGUUCUAUACCCAGGCCCUGGGUUGUACAGGAAAGCUAGCUAAGCAUGAGCCUGCAAGCAAGCAAGCAAGCCGGAGAGCGAGCCAGAAAGGAGAGCGAGCCAGCAAGCAGCAUUUCUCCAUGGUUCUUGCCCGGAUGUCCCUUAAUGGUGGACUGUGACCUUGAAGUGUAAGCUAAAUAAACCCAUUCUUUUAAA